UUAAAGCUGGCUCUAAGGCUCGGUGCAGGGCUCUUUUGCUUUUGUCUCUGAAAAUUCUCAUGCAUUCACACAGAGAUCAUCAACAAAAAUAGGGCAAUCUGAUGACUGCCUUCUGUGGUUCCACAGGGAAGGUGUUCAUCUUGGAUUCCAAGAAACAAAUAGUGUUUUUUUAAAUAUCCACAGAUUACCAAAAUACAAUCACAGUCAACUAAGGUGUAUGAUCAGGAUCAUGUCUGCACAGCAGGUUGAUUUAUUAGGUAAUCAUAGAAUCACAGAAUCAUAGAAUGGCCUGGGUUGAAAAGGACUACAAUGAUCAUCGAGUUUCAACCUCCCUGCUAUGUGCAGGGUUGCCAACCACCAGACCAGGCUGCCCAGAGCCACAUCCAGCCUGGCCUUGAAUGCAUCCAGAGAUGGGGCAUCCACAACCUCCUUGAGCAACCUGUUCCAGGGCAGUUCCAGGUUUCUACAGAGCUACUUGGGAAACUUCGCAUAGUGUUGCAGUACAACAGACAGAUAAAUCCUGAGCACAGAGGACCAGCACUACCCCUGCCUAUUGCAGCACUGUGAAGUCAAGUGCCAUGUAGAAGGAAGUGUCAGGUGACAGAACACCUCAAAAGACUGAGACAAGAAAAGCUGCCAAAGGGUAGCCACCACCUCCUUCAAAACUACGCUCCCAGAUGUAUAAUAUUCCAUGAUGGUAAAAAGAACCUCAUUUAUUAAACACAGAAACAGAAAUGCACUAUAUUUGGGUCCUUGGUAGUAAGAUUAUGAAAACUGACAGAAUGUAGACUUUGAUGUAACUCAGAAUGGUUAAUAUCAAAAUUUCCAGUGGGGUUUUAAAUUUGUUGUUUGAAACUAUCUGUAUUUCUGGCAAGGAGUUUGCUUCAGUGCUUUUCUUUAGUGGUAUUAAAGGAGUUCUCCUAUAUUAAAAGUUUUAUAUUUUGAUGGAUGUUAAAAUUAAAGGAAAACUUUAUUAAAUCACUGCACAAUAUAGUAAAUGUAAUGAAGCACAUUUCAAAUUAAAUGGAUUGGAAGGAAAAUCUGUGUAACCGUUGUCAAGCAGGGUUCUCUUCAGAAGUAAAAUUGCAGCUUUAAUAUACAAUUCUUUCUGAGUAUUAUAUGAAUUGCCUAGUUCUUCUAUAUUAAAGACUGAAGAAAGCAUAGAAAAUUUUCAUGUGGAAAGCAUUCAUUUCCUUAAAUUUAAAGCACUCUUGUCUAACCAGUUCAAAUACUGAUUUGAAGUGCACAAAGCUGAGGGAGAACUCUCUGAACAUCUGCAAACAAGGAAGAAACCAGUGGAUGGGAUUUAUUUGCAUGUCUUCAAUUAAGCACAAUAAUCUUUUUCAAUGGAAAAGGCUAUGGAGCAGCUCAGUUGCACAACUGAGUGAAGGCAGACAGCCUCUCUCGAGCCGGGAGCCCCAUCACGAUGGAUGAAGCCUGCAGUAUUUGUUUUAUUUUAACAGUUUUCUGUAGGACCUAAACAUGAUUUAUUUCAAGUGGAAG
ensembl:lncRNA